rnacentral:rRNA from 1 species
CCUACGGGAGGCAGCAGUGGGAAUAUUGGACAAUGGGCGAAAGCCUGAUCCAGCCAUGCCGCGUGUGUGAAGAAGGCCUUCGGGUUGUAAAGCACUUUCAGUGGGGAAGAAAGCCUUGGGGCUAAUACCCUCGAGGAAGGACAUCACCCACAGAAGAAGCACCGGCUAACUCCGUGCCAGCAGCCGCGGUAAUACGGAGGGUGCGAGCGUUAAUCGGAAUUACUGGGCGUAAAGCGCGCGUAGGCGGUCUGAUAAGCCGGUUGUGAAAGCCCCGGGCUCAACCUGGGAACGGCAUCCGGAACUGUCAGGCUAGAGUGCAGGAGAGGAAGGUAGAAUUCCCGGUGUAGCGGUGAAAUGCGUAGAGAUCGGGAGGAAUACCAGUGGCGAAGGCGGCCUUCUGGACUGACACUGACGCUGAGGUGCGAAAGCGUGGGUAGCAAACAGGAUUAGAUACCCCGGUAGUC